GGCGCGAAAACUUUACAAUGCCGGCAACGGCGAUAAGGGGACCUCGAGUGCCAGGUUACAAAUCUGGCUGUCGUGAUGCCUAAAAAGCAUUGCAUAGCAAGGGCCGGGCAAGACCGGUGCCAGCCGCCGCGGUAACACCGGCGGCUCGAGUGGUAACCGUUAUUAUUGGGUCUAAAGGGUCUGUAGCCGGCCGGAUAAGUCUCUUGGGAAAUCCAGCAGCUCAACUGUUGGGCUUUCAGGAGAUACUGUCUGGCUCGAGGCCGGGAGAGGUGAGAGGUACUUCAGGGGUAGGGGUGAAAUCUUGUAAUCCUUGAAGGACCACCAGUGGCGAAGGCGUCUCACCAGAACGGACCUGACGGCAAGGGACGAAAGCUAGGGGCACGAACCGGAUUAGAUACCCGGGUAGUCCUAGCCGUAAACGAUACUCGCUAGGUGUCGGCCACGGUGCGACCGUUGUCGGUGCCGUAGGGAAGCCGUGAAGCGAGCCACCUGGGAAGUACGGCCGCAAGGCUGAAACUUAAAGGAAUUGGCGGGGGAGCAC
rnacentral:rRNA from 1 species